rnacentral:rRNA from 1 species
UACGUAGGGGGCAAGCGUUGUCCGGAUUCAUUGGGCGUAAAGAGCGUGUAGGCGGCCAGGUAGGUCGGUUGUGAAAACUGGAGGCUCAACCUUCAGAGGUCGACCGAAACCAUCUGGCUAGAGUCCGGGAGAGGAGAGUGGAAUUCCUGGUGUAGCGGUGAAAUGCGCAGAUAUCUGGAGGAACACCGGUGGCGAAGGCGGCAUCCUGGACCAUAACUGGCGCUGAGGCGCGAAAGCGUGGGGAGCAAACAGG